rnacentral:rRNA from 1 species
UCUUUUCUCAAGGAGGAAGAUCUGACGGUACUUGAGGAAUAAGCCACGGCUAAUUCCGUGCCAGCAGCCGCGGUAAUACGGGAGUGGCAAGCGUUAUCCGGAAUUAUUGGGCGUAAAGCGUCCGCAGGCGGCCUUUCAAGUCUGCUGUUAAAGCGUGGAGCUUAACUCCAUCAUGGCAGUGGAAACUGUUAGGCUUGAGUAUAGUAGGGGUAGAGGGAAUUCCCAGUGAAGCGGUGAAAUGCGUAGAUAUUGGAAAGAACACCAGUGGCGAAGGCGCUCUGCUGGGCCAUUACUGACGCUCAAAGACGAAAGCCAGGGUAGCAAAUGGGAUUAGAUA